GUCCUCCUGAAACAAGCACAGCAUCCCACCUGAGUCAGACCGGCUCAUCCCACAGGUCCUGUGGGGGAAUGGGACAUUCCCAGCAACAGGGGGAGGGUGAGAAGAAGCUGGAGAGGUGGAGCUCAAGGAGAGCAGUGGAGAGACCUGGGAAGCAGCAAGGGAAGGUGGGGUGGCCUCUUAGAUGACCAGGGCUGAGGACCCCUCAUGAGUGUCCUCUAAGCUGGAAACUAUUUGAGGACAGGGACUGAGUCUUGUUGACUGCUGUAACCUCGUCACCCAGCACAGCACCUGGUCCACAGUAGAUGAUCACUGUUUGUUAAAUGAAAAGGUUGACUAUGAUAAGCCAUGUCCCUUCUAUAUCAAGGGACACAGUGGGAACAGGGGAAAAUUUUGUAUUCCUGGGACAAAACCCACAAUCUUGUCAGUUGUGAUUUCUGAGAGCUUUAAAAUAGCCAUCAUUUCUGGAGAUCUGUUAUGUGCUAGGCAGCAAGUGGAAUCCUCUCCAGAGAUGAGUUCACGGAGUCCUAGGAGAUGGUGCCGUCAUCGUCCUCACUUUAUGGAGGAGGAUGCUGGCAGGCUAAGGGACUGAGGGACUCGCCGAGGGCCUCACUCGCUCUGCUUCAAGCUCCAAGUAAAUCCUGGAGCUGUUGCCUCUUCCUGAGCUGUUGGGAGUACAUCCCUUAAAGUCCAGGCCUCCAGCAGCCAUGGAGCUUGGAGCUUGGAGCUUGGAACCUCAGGGUUCCCAACAGGAAGAGGACGUCUCCACCACCUUCCCCAUGGUUCUGCCUCCCCCGGGAGGGAGUUGCUUAGUCUGCCUCCAGGCCGGCGGUCAAUCCUGCAUCCAGCCUCCACCAGCACCCCUGACACCUCAGAGCAGCUCCAAGGAGCUGCCGAGGUGGUAUGUGACGCUGCCAUCUGACUAUUGAGAUAAAAGGGAAUGACUCUGAA
rnacentral:lncRNA from 1 species